UGAGGGGAGGAGUCUCGAAUUAUGUGGCCUGAAGGACCAAAGUUGGAGACAGCAAGCUCUAGUCAGGGAACUCAGGCCACUGCCCCUGCCUUGCUAUCUUUUUUUUUUUUUUUAAGGUUUAUUUAUUUAUUUAUUCAUGGGAGACACAGAGAGAGGCAGAGACACAGGCAGAGGGAGAAGCAGGCUCCCUGCAUGGAUCCCGAUGUGGGACUCGAUCCCGGGACCCCAGGGUCAUGCCCUGAGCCGAAGGCAGACGCUCAACUGCUGAGCCACCCAGGCGUCCCCCAUCUUUUUUUUUUUUUAACGAUUUUAUUUAUUUAUUGAGAGAGAGUGUGUGAGCGAGAGAGAGGAAGCACAAGCAAGGAGAAGCAGCAGAGACUCCCGGCUGAACAGGGAGCUGGGCCCGGAGCUCCAUCCCAGGACCCUGACACCAUGACCUGAGCCGAAGACAAAUGCUUGGCCGAUUGAGCCACCCAGGUGCCCCUGCCGUGUCAUCUUUCAAAACACCUCAUUUUCCUCUGCCCUUCGGGAGACUGUAACAUCCUGCAGGUGUAAGUCUGAGAUCUUUACUGAUUUCUCCUCCGGUUACAACAAGCAGUGAUUCUUGUAUUUCUGAUGAAGUCUCAGGAUCUAGACACCAGCAAGGAUCAUCAGAGAAGCCUUUGCAGACGUUGGUCUACGUUAGAGGAAAAGAUCAAACAAAGAAUGGGAAGAGCAGAGAUAAAGGCGGAAAGGUGGGAAAAUAUGCCUUGUCCAUUCGAUCCAGGGUCAGAGGACAGGAGCUCAGGUAAGCCAGACGCUGUGGGCCUUCGUCUUUCCCUGCGUCAGGCUAUGAAGAUGAGGUUAAAGGGGCCAGUUUCAGGCAUACGCAGGACACAACUGAGCACUCUCUUCUGCCCCAACAUCGAGUCUCACUUUUAUUCCACUCAGAGUAGAGAGAGGGCUACAGAUGCCCUUUCUGCCACCAGAAUUGUUUGCAUUUUAAGGUACUGUUUGGAGGCAAAAGAAAGAAUACAAGAAGUCAAAACCAAGACGCAAACGCCAGGGGAGAAGAGCUAAGUGGGAGAAGCUUUCAAGUUGGAGAGGGAAGAAGGUCACCUUACAACUUAAAUGAAUUCCCACUUGCCGCAACUUCUCCUCAUCCUAAUGUGUCCAAAUGUGUCCUAAUGUCUCCUCAUCCUAAUGUGUGAUUUAAUCUUCCUGUAGCCAUAUUAUAUAAUACAGUCACAUUUUGUAGAAGAGUAAGAACACUGUGAAACAGAGAAUAGUCCAGAAAAGAUAGAUGACGUAGGGGAAUGAAAAUGGCACAGUAUCAAGUGCGAAGUUGUAGAUAAUCACCCCCUCCUCUGCUUUUCACUGCGAAUAACAGGCCAGAGGUCAAAGCUUAUAUACAAAAUUCAUAGUUUCAUACAAGUGGGAGCUGUGUAGGCAAACAUUAGUUUUCAAAAAAAGGUGAAAGAAAACGGGACAGGCUUUGGAAAAACUAUAUUCCUGUGGUUGUACACAUAAAUUUCAGCUGACACCAAAAGUAUGAGGAUCUCAUACUUGCACUAAUAUUUUCGGUGAAGAAUUUUAUUAAGAGAUAUUAAGGACAUGUAGGCUUACCUUCAUACAGGCUUUAUUUUUUUUUCUUUCAAGAUUUUAUUUAAAUUCUAGUUAGUCAACAUAUAGCGUGGUAUUAGUUUCAGGCGUAGAAUUUAGUGAUUCAUCACUUACGUACAACACCCUGCGUCAUCACGAGUUCCCUCCUUAAUGCCCAUCACCCGUUUACUUCAAUCCCCACAUCCCCUCCAGCAACUCUCAGUUCAGUUCCUAGACUUAAUAGUCUCUUAGAGUUUGCCUCCUGCUCUGUUUUUAUAUUUUUAAAAAUUUUUCCUUCCCUUCCCCUUAUGUUCAUCUGUUUUGUUUCUUUAAUUCUACGUAUGAGUAAAAUCAUAUGGCAUUUGUCUUUCUCUGACUGACAUAUUUUGCUCAGCAUAAUACCCUCUAGUACCAUCUAUGUUGUUGCAAAUGAUAAGAUUUCAUUCUUUCUGAUGGCUGAGUAAUAUUCCAUUGUAUA
rnacentral:lncRNA from 12 species